CGGACGGGUGAGUAACACGUGGGCAACCUACCUGUAAGACUGGGAUAACUUCGGGAAACCGGAGCUAAUACCGGAUAAUUCUUUUCUACACAUGUAGAAAAGCUGAAAGACGGUUUCGGCUGUCACUUACAGAUGGGCCCGCGGCGCAUUAGCUAGUUGGUGAGGUAAUGGCUCACCAAGGCAACGAUGCGUAGCCGACCUGAGAGGGUGAUCGGCCACACUGGGACUGAGACACGGCCCAG
rnacentral:rRNA from 1 species